GUGAGGAAUUUUCCGCACUGGGCGAAAGCCUGACGGAGCAAUGCCGCGUGAAGGAUGAAGGCCUAUGGGUUGUAAACUUCUUUUCUCAGAAAAGAAUUAUGACGGUAUCUGAGGAAUAAGCAUCGGCUAACUCUGUGCCAGCAGCCGCGGUAAGACAGAGGAUGCAAGCGUUAUCCGGAAUGAUUGGGCGUAAAGCGUCUGUAGGUUGUUUAAAAAGUAUUCUGUCAAAGAUUAGGGCUUAACCCUAGAUAGGCAGAAUAAACUUUUAAGCUAGAGUUUGGUGCAGGCAGAGGGAAUUCCCGGUGGAGCGGUGAAAUGCGUAGGUUUCGGGAGGAACACCAAAGGCGAAGGCAGUCUGCUGGGCCAAUACUAACACUGAGAGACGAAAGCGAGGGGAGCAAAUGGGAUUAGAUACCCUUGUAGUCC
rnacentral:rRNA from 1 species